GCUUUCCAUCAACCAGUAAGACAGUGGGGGAUAAGCUUCAUUGUCAAAAGGGAAACAGCCCAGAUCACCAGUUAAGGCCCCAAAGUGAUGGCUAAGUGAUAAAGGAAGUAAAAAGGCAAAGACAACCAGAAGGUUUGCUUAGAAGCAGCCAUCCUUGAAAGAGUGCGUAAUAGCUCACUGGUAGAGCCUUUUUGCGCCGAAAAUGAACGGGGCUAAGUCAUCCGCCGAAACUGUGGGUUACAGUUUUAACUGUUACGGUAGAGGAGCGUUCCGUUAUAGGGUGAAGUUAAAAUGUGAAUUUUAAUGGACGAAACGGAAGUGAGAAUGUCGGCUUGAGUAACGAAAACAUUGGUGAGAAUCCAAUGCCCCGAAAACCUAAGGGUUCCUUCACAAGGUUCGUCCAUGGAGGGUUAGUCAGGACCUAAGGCGAGAUCGAAAGGUGUAGUCGAUGGAAAACAGGUUAAUAUUCCUGUACUUGAUUUAAUUUGAUAAAGAGGGACGGAGAAGGCGGUAACUAGCUAGAUAUUGGUAUUCUAGUAGAAGUAUUGAAUUCUUAAAAGAAUGAAAAAAAACUUUCUUUAGAAAACAUGCGAUCUAACUGGUACUCUAUUUACAUAGAGUUUUGGUUUAGUUUUAGUCAUACUUCCAAGAAAAGCUUUUAUUAUCGUUAAAUUAAAUCAACCUGUACCCUAAACUGACACAAGUAGGUAGGUAGAGAAUACUAAGGGGCGCGAGAUAACUCUCUCUAAGGAACUCGGCAAAAUGGCCCCGUAACUUCGGGAGAAGGGGUGCCUACAUAAUGUAGGCCGCAGUGACCAGGCCCAGGCGACUGUUUAUCAAAAACACAGGUCUCCGCAAAGUCGUAAGACAAUGUAUGGGGGCUGACGUCUGCCCAGUGCCGGAAGGUAAAAGAAGUUGGUUAUUCCUCGGAAAAAGCUGACGACUGAAGCCCCGGUGAACGGCGGCUGUAACUCUGACAGUCCUAAGGUAGCGAAAUUCCUUGUCGAGUAAGUUUCGACCCGCACGAAAGACGUAACGAUCUGGGCACUGUCUCGGAGAGAGACUCGGUGAAAUAGAAAUGUCUGUGAAGAUGCGGACUACUUAUACCAGGACAGAAAGACCCUAUGAAGCUUGACUGUAAUUUGGAAUUGGGUUCGGGCUUUUUUUGCGCAGUCUAGGUGGGAGGCGUUGAUAUUAAGUUUUCGGACUUAAUGGAGCCACCAGUGAGAGACCACUCUAAAAGAGCUAGAAUUCUAAUAGGACUCCUUGAAUCAGGAUCCUUGACAGUUUCAGAUGGACAGUUUGACUGGGGCGGUGACCUCCCAAAAGGUAACGGAGGUGUGCAAAGGUUCCCUCAAGCUGGACGGAAAUCAGCUGUAGAGUGCAAAGGUAUAAGGGAGCUUGACUGCAAGACCAACAAGUCGAGCAGAGGCGAAAGCCGGCCUUAGUGAUCCGACGGUUCCGAGUGGAAGGGCCGUCGCUCAACGGAUAAAAGUUACUCUAGGGAUAACAGGCUGAUCUCCCCCAAGAGUUCACAUCGACGGGGAGGUUUGGCACCUCGAUGUCGUUUCAUCGCAACCUGGGGCUGGAGUAGGUCCCAAGGGUUGGGCUGUUCGCCCAUAAAAGCGGUACGUGAGAUGGGUUCAGAACGUCGCGAGACAGUUCGGUCCAUAUCCGGUAUAAGCGUAAGAGCAUUGAGAGGAUCUCAACAUUGUACGAGAGGACCCGAAGGGACGUACCGAUGGUGUACCAGUUCUUAUGCCAAUAGGAAACGCUGGGUAGCUAUGUACGGAGUGGAUAAUCGCUGAAAGCAUUUAAGUGAGAAGCCCACCUCAAGAUGAAUGCUCUCUAUCAGAUCGCGGCAAGACAAGCCGAUAGAUUGGCAUCAAGUGUAAGAUUAGUAAUAAUUUCAGCUGAGAUGUACAAAGGAUCGAUUGAUUUUGAC
rnacentral:rRNA from 2 species